AGAAUCAACGCUGGCGGCGUGCCUAACACAUGCAAGUCGAACGAGAAAGUGGAGCAAUCCAUGAGUACAGUGGCGACCGGGUGAGUAACACGUGACCAAUCUACCUUCGAGUGGGGGAUAAACUCCGGGAAACCGGGGCUAAUACCGCAUAACAUCUUUGGAAUGCAAAUUCCGUUGAUCAAAGGAGCAAUUCGCUUGAAGAGGAGGUCGCGGCUGAUUAGUUAGUUGGCGGGGUAAUGGGCCCACCAAGACGAAGAUCGGUA
rnacentral:rRNA from 1 species